UAAAAACGACGCAAAAUACAUUAGAGAUAGCAACAGAUUUGCAACUACAUUAAAAUCCCUAAAAUCUAAUCAGAUUUUCACCUACUGUUCAUACACAACCAGCCCUAAAAAUGUUCGAAUGCUCUGGCAAAACCACCCCUCCACUCCUUCGAACUCGGCCACUGCUCUCCGAAACCAGCCUCUCGAUCGUCCUCUCUGAAACCAGCCUUUCGACCCUUCUGACCGUCUUCUUCAAAACCGGCCACUCGAACCCCUUUCUCUUUUGAUCGUCAUCUUCCUCACGGUGGUGGUUGAAGCUCUCUGCUCUGACGUAAUGGUGGUGGUUUGAAGCUCUCUGCUUCGAUGUAGCUCUCAUUCAGUCCGCCGUCGGCGUCUCUUCAACGGUGUGUGUACAAACUCUUAGCUAAAAAUCAUGGCUCCAGGGAAGUAUUCCCGGGGUGAAGGGAAGAAAUCUUCUGGUUACUGUUCAACUGUCAGUAUGGUCGUUUUUGUCGCUUUUUGUUUAGUUGGAAUAUGGAUGUUUAUGUCAUCAGCAGUUCUAGUUCAGGAUCGGCAAUUACAAUUUGAAUGUAAUGAGACCAAGAAUGAGGUGAAAUGACAUGUCGUCAAUGAUGGUAAUUCUAAGCAAUUUGAAGAUAGUUCUGGUGACUUACAAGAGGAUGCAACAACAACAAAUGAUAACAGUGGGUUUGAUUCUCAAACUGUUGUGGAAACCCAAGAAGAAAUGAGUUCAAAGGAAGAAGCUGAGGGCAAGAAUGAAUCUCAGAAUGGUUCUGGUGAGAAGAAAACAGUUUCUGAAGAUGAAAAUGCUACAGUUAAUGGAGAUUUAUAUCAUUUUAUUGGCUAAAGAGGACAAAUCUUCUUCUUUUUACAUUCCCUAUGAUGUUUAUGGGAGCUUUGAGCUGUGUUUAUCUUCAUCUCCAGAAGAAAUCCAAUAACAAGUCAUCCUCCAACAGGUUAUUAAUAAUGAUAUUUGACAUGUGUUUGAGUAAUAUUUUUAAUUGGUUUUUUGAUUAUUGAGAUAAUGGUGAGUUGUUUGCUAAUGUCGAUUUAUUCGAGUAAAUUAGGGAGAGUAUUGAAUCGAGUGUAGUUGAUAGAGUGUCGAGUGUGUCAUAAAAACUACUUUGCAAAUAAUUGUCAAAAGAAGACUAGUGUAGUGUGUAACAAUUUCAAUUCAGCAUGUAUACGACUUUUAUUACUUGUUUGUUUGUUUUUAUUUAUGGCAUUUAGUUCAAGUCUUUAGUCGGUAUUUACAAUUGAGAAACUUUGAUGAUGAUUCUAACUUCUAGAUUACAUAUGUAUUUGCUAUUGGAUGCAUAGAUGGACUUUUUAUAUCAUAAGAUCAAAGAUUAAAGUCUUUAACUUGUGGUUCUCUCUAGUAUGAUAUAGCCCAAAACUUUGGUUUCGAAUGAAUUUAUGGAGAACUUUUUCCCAAUAUGAAAUGGUGAGAAACCAUAAAAAUAAAAGUAUACAUUUAUAGAGAACCUUUUCCAAUGAUCAUGUGCAACUUUGAUGUGUCUAUGUGGUAACUACAUAUAUUUAUUAUGAUGUCUUUUUUGUUAAUUACAUGAAUGUGGAUAUGUGGUCUGUCGGUUGCAUAUUUGGUUAGGAAUAGCUCUUCUGUUCCCUUCUCUCAUUUUUUUCCUCCACAUUUUAUGUCUUUAAACUCAUCUCUCCUUUAUGUUCCUUAUAGCUAAGCUAGUCACCACACAAGCACUCUUUCCAGGUGAUUUAGAGCUUCAGCAACUCCUACUAUUCCUUAUGUUCUCUAAUAGGAAAAAAAAUUGUUCAAUCUUUUAUUGUAAAGCUUAUGGCCCUACUUAGCGAUAUAAUUUUAAAUUGAAGAUUGGAUAAGCAAGAAGGUACUUCGGAUAAUAUCAAGAGUUAUGAAAGUUAAGAGUAGGAGAACUUUUUCUAGGAGGAUAGACUUGUGUAUUGUAAGUGCAAAUUUUUACUAAGUUAUGAAGGUUGGGUUUGUAGAUUGAAAGUAUUGUUAGAAAUAUUUGUUAUAUAGACACUUUAUGUAAUAUCACUCAUGUAAUUGUCUUAAUUUGAAUUUAUCUUUUAUUAAUUCAAAUUUUAUAUUAUUAUUUUUUAA